rnacentral:rRNA from 1 species
GUCUACAGCCAUGCCACCCUGAACAUGCUUGAUCUAGUCUGAUCUUGGAAGCAGGGUUGGGCCUGGUUAGUACUUGGAUGGGAGACCACCUAGGAAUACCAGGUGCUGUAGGCA